UUCGGUCUCUAGAGCCGUGCGGUACCACCGCUUCCCAUUCCGAACAGAUGGGUGAAACGCAUGAGCGCUGACGAUAGUUGUCCCGCAAGGGACCGCGAAAAUAGGUCGAGGCCGGAG
rfam:Microgenomates (Gottesmanbacteria) bacterium GW2011_GWB1_43_11 TV61_C0009, whole genome shotgun sequence.